rnacentral:ncRNA from 1 species
CAAACGACCAUGAUGGGAAGAGUAAGCCGAUCUCCUUAUUUCAGAGAGCCGGGGUAGCUGAAAACCGGUAUAAGCGAGCAAGCUGAACAUGGACCCUGAGUCUUGCAAAUGAACAGUGACGGCAUUGACCGUACCAAGUAGUUUGUGACGUAUGCCCACGUUACGGGUGGAGUCAUGUUUUGACUCACCAAGUCCGUUUUCCGUGAGGGGACGGAGUAUUUGGGUGGUACCGCGAGAUAGAGCUCGCCCCAAUU